rnacentral:lncRNA from 13 species
CAGUUCAUUCCCUUCUGUUUUUCUAACAGAUGUUGUGGUCUACCGUCUACCCUUUAAUAUUGUCCAUGAUAUCGGGAUCAAGAAAAAGAGUUGCUUCAGGAAAAUUUGAACUGGAUAAACAAGAUGCAAGUCACUGGCACGAGAAUCCCAACGCAGAGGCAGUAGUCACAGUUUCCGUCUCACGGAAACGCUUCCCAUUUCCUGUAGUGACAGCAGUACUCCUCUGGAUAUCAGGACCUCUGAAUUCUAUAAAACCUAAAGGUACAGGGACCAGAAGCACAGAUUCUAAAGAAGCUAGAUUCUCCCAUCUGCCCCUGCAUUCAAUCUCUCCUGCCAUUAUGUACCAUGCAGCCUCUGGAAAACUUCACUGCAUAUUCAUGCCAGAAUGAGAGUAAAAAGGCAAGUCAUUUUUUUUAUCAUUAUGUAAUUUUAUUUUGAAAAUAAUAUCUAUACAAAAAUUGUUUUGACCUGUGGGCCCCUUGAGAACAUUCCAGACCUUUCUGGAAUCACCAGACUGUGCUUUAAGAAUGGCCUGUUUAAGAUAUUGCAGCCAGGUGGUAUGAAGAAAUUAAUCAUAAUAAAAAGAGUACAUUCUCAGAUGAUGUGUGCCGA